rnacentral:rRNA from 1 species
UCCGUAGGUGAACCUGCGGAAGGAUCAUUAUUGAAGGAGAAGGAAACUUCUCCAAAAAGUAUGAAACCCUUGUCUAUGAGUACUAUCGUUUCCUCGGCAGGCUUGCCUGCCAAUGGGGACCCUUAUCAAUCUUUUAAUAAUGUUGUAACCGUAACCAAACAAAUAAUCAAAACUUUCAACAACGGAUCUCUUGGUUCUGGCAUCGAUGAAGAACGCAGCGAAAUGCGAUAAGUAAUGUGAAUUGCAGAAUUCAGUGAAUCAUCGAAUCUUUGAACGCACAUUGCGCCCCUUGGUAUUCCGAGGGGCAUGCCUGUUCGAGCGUCAUUAUAACCCUCAAGCUCAGCUUGGUGUUGGGGCCUGCUGCACUGGCAGCCCUUAAAAUCAGUGGCGGUGCCAUUUGGCUUCAAGCGUAGUAAUUCUUCUCGCUUUGGAGAUCCAGGUGGUUACUUGCCAAUAACCCCCAAUUUUUUCAGGUUGACCUCGGAUCAGGUAGGGAUACCCGCUGAACUUAA